CUAUUGGUUUGUUAAAAAGAUAUGUUUUAUUCAUUAACUUCGUAGAUUUAUACUAUAGCAUACCUUGAAUGCACAAAAUGCUUCUUUAAAGUGAUUUACAAAAGCUACUUAAGCUCGAUGGAUGUGUAAAAUGGCUUCAGAAACUUUAUUAAAUAAAUAAAUGAAAGCUAACAAUAAUGCUCAAAGAGCAUGAGAAAUCUUAAUUUUUUUCCAUAGAAAUAACUCCACUAAAGUUCUUAACAUCAACCACCUCCACAACCUCCACCACAACCACCUCCUCCACCUCCACCACAACCACCUCCUCCACCACAACCACCUCCUCCACCUCUGCCACCUCCGCCUGAACCACUAUCACCGCAAGCGAAUAUGACCAUUGAAAUAAUUGACAAGGAAACAACAAUCAUGCAUAACAACAGAAAAGCCUCAGAGGAAUCAAGCAGGAAGCCUGCUUCUGAAUGGACACUGCCUUCAUAAACUAUGAACUCUCUCGCCAUCUUAAUUUCCUAAGAUAUAUGCUCCAAACACAAAGCUCGCUGUAGCUCUAAUAUGUGGUUACUAAAACCAUUUUAUAUACAAACUUGCUGGAAUAUUCAAUUGCCUUUGCUUAAGGAAGAGGAUAACUUGGUGGACU
rnacentral:lncRNA from 1 species